rnacentral:lncRNA from 1 species
CGAAAAAGUGUCCAAGCUGCUGGAUCACUUGAGAUAUGGGCUGCUCCAACUAUCUAAAAUUCACGUUAUGGAGUAAAGCAAGUGCUAAUGGGCCCGCUUGUGCCUUCCAUGUGUUGCAGCAAAAUAACACCAUGUGCACCUCCUAAGCCCCUAGACGCAUACCCUUCUCCAAUGCUGGACCGUGUGGAGUAAGUUGAAGCCCAUGAGCGUGCUUCCAAAUCAUCCGUGACACCACACCAUUUUUCUAAUUGAAACAAUAUAAUCUGCUUCCAGACCGUGGUGCUCCCUUAAAUGAAGGAUGGAUGACCU